AGCGAACGCUGGCGGCAGGCCUAACACAUGCAAGUCGAACGGACCUUUCGGGGUUAGUGGCGGACGGGUGAGUAACACGUGGGAACGUGCCUUUAGGUUCGGAAUAGCUCCUGGAAACGGGUGGUAAUGCCGAAUGUGCCCUUCGGGGGAAAGAUUAUCGCCUUUAGAGCGGCCCGCGUCUGAUUAGCUAGUUGGUGAGGUAAUGGCUCACCAAGGCGACGAUCAGUAGCUGGUCUGAGAGGAUGACCAGCCACAUUGGGACUGAGACACGGCCCAAACUCCUACGGGAGGCAGCAGUGGGGAAUCUUGCGCAAUGGGCGAAAGCCUGACGCAGCCAUGCCGCGUGGUUGAUGAAGGUCUUAGGAUUGUAAAAUCCUUUCACCGGUGAAGAUAAUGACUGUAGCCGGAGAAGAAGCCCCGGCUAACUUCGUGCCAGCCGCCGCAGUAAUAC
rnacentral:rRNA from 1 species